rnacentral:lncRNA from 10 species
GGUGCAAAACGGACUCAACUAGAUUGAGAAAAUCAGGAAAUUAGCUGGAAAAGAUGGGAAAGCCCACACAAUUGGAAGAACAGUUGAAGAACCAGGUGGGAUAUUCUGGUUUCCUCCCUCCCUCCCCAAUCCCUCCAUCCCUGCCCUCCCUCUUCCUUCCGUGUUUCUUUCCCCUUCCUCCUUCCCUCUCUUUCUUUGUUGUAUUUCACACAUUUAGAAUUCAAAGUCCUGGAAGAGAGAGUUGGAUCAGCUGAGGCUGGGUCAGGUGUUUGUGCCUUGGCACCUGAGCAAGCUACCUUGACUGAUAGUCUCACCAAUCUGCACACAAUGUGGGCAAGUGAUUUUUCACAAGAAAAUCAGGCUGCAAUGAUCAAAAGUAGGGGAAGUGCAUGCCAGGUGGUCUUAACCAAUAAAUGUCUUCUGUAUUCAUUAAUAUACUUUACUAUUAUUCUCCUGCUACGUUGACUAAUUGGGGGUUAUUUUCUUUAGAGUCCACUACAUACAAGGUUUUUCACUCUGCAUUGCUAUGUUAAAAUGUGGGCAGAGAUGUGCCUCAGUAGUUAAUUGGGCCACCAUGCUUGUUGGAUAUAAAUAAGACCAUUCACUUACUUAGCCUUAAGUAAUGCAGAUAAAUGGGACACCAGAUGGAAUUCAUGUAGUGAAAUUCAUGCAGAUACUGUAUUUUAUGAUAUGCCUUCUUUCAGGGUUUAAUGAUCAUGCCGCCUUAUACUUUUAUAAUGCUUCGUAAGUUUAACAAGUACAGCAGAUAUUGCUGAUUUCCCACCCACUGCCCAUUCUCCCCUUCUUUCUUAUUCGUAGAACCUUGAUUUUGUUCAGGGAGGCAAUAUGCUCAGCUAAAAAUAUUUCCCAGUUUCCCUUGUAGGUAGGAAUGAUCAUGUGACAGCCAAUGAGAUGUAAAUGGAAUUCUGCUGGGGAUAUCUGGGUAAGUUUUAUAUAUCUGAUAUAGGCAGAACUUUUUCUUGCCUGUUUUGUCCUUUUUCUUUCCUUUUUUUUUUUCUGGCUGGUCUGCAGAUUGAGUAUGGAAGUGGGGCCUCUACCUUGUGACUGAGAGGGAGCCAGGGAGUAAAAGCUGCUUGCAGAAAGAGGAGCCAGGGAUAUUGAUGACAUCAUGAAGCCACUUCAUCAGCGUGGACCACUGGUCUCCAGAAUACCUAUGAUGUGGGAACAAUAAACACUUACUUGUUUAAGCUGUUGCUGCCGACUUUGUUACUCACAGCCAAGUACAGUCCUAAUGGAUACAGCAAAUAUUCUCAUUAAUAUUUUAUUAGAUCAUUUGAAACUUAUGAUUACUGGGCAGAAAUAGGAUUAUGAUCUUUCUCUUAUAGAAGAAGCUGAAACUCAGAAGCUAAGUGACUUGCUCAAGGUCACAGAAUAUGGUAUGUAUCAGAUUUGAUGCCCAAUUUAGUGCUCUUUCUACUCAGCCAGUGGUUCUCAGCUGGGUGUGGGACGGUCCCUGCAAUCUGGUUGGGGGAAAGAUUGGGAGACAGCCUUUGGAAUUUUUUUUUUUCCAUGACUAGGGAAUGGGACUGGCAUUUAGUGGGCUGGAAGCAAUAAUGCUGAAUGUUCUGCCUUGCUGAGGACAGUCCCACAUAAUGAAUUGUCCUGCUCCAAAUGUUAAUAGUGGUCCCCUUGAGAAAUACCGAGCUAAAUUAAGCCAAAGAAAAUUACACACUGACUCAGAACUGAGAAUAAGGCUGUCUCAUAAUGAUACUCAAUAAAUGUUAAUAAAUGAUAUCAC